rnacentral:rRNA from 1 species
GACGAACGCUGGCGGCGUGCUUAACACAUGCAAGUCGAACGGAAAGGCCCUGCUUUUGUGGGGUGCUCGAGUGGCGAACGGGUGAGUAACACGUGAGUAGCCUGCCCUUGACUUUGGGAUAACUUCAGGAAACUGGGGCUAAUACCGGAUAGGAGCUCCUGCUGCAUGGUGGGGGUUGGAAAGUUUCGGCGGUUGGGGAUGGACUCGCGGCUUAUCAGCUUGUUGGUGGGGUAGUGGCUUACCAAGGCUUUGACGGGUAGCCGGCCUGAGAGGGUGACCGGCCACAUUGGGACUGAGAUACGGCCCAGACUCCUACGGGGGGCAGCAGUGGGGAAUAUUGCACAAUGGGCGGAAGCCUGAUGCAGCAACGCCGCGUGCGGGAUGACGGCCUUCGGGUUGUAAACCGCUUUCGCCUGUGACGAAGCGUGAGUGACGGUAAUGGGUAAAGAAGCACCGGCUAACUACGUGCCAGCGGCCGCGGUGAUACGUAGGGUGCGAGCGUUGUCCGGAUUUAUUGGGCGUAAAGGGCUCGUAGGUGGUUGAUCGCGUCGGAAGUGUAAUCUUGGGGCUUAACCCUGAGCGUGCUUUCGAUACGGGUUGACUUGAGGAAGGUAGGGGAGAAUGGAAUUCCUGGUGGAGCGGUGGAAUGCGCAGAUAUCAGGAGGAACACCAGUGGCGAAGGCGGUUCUCUGGGCCUUUCCUGACGCUGAGGAGCGAAAGCGUGGGGAGCGAACAGGCUUAGAUACCCUGGUAGUCCACGCUGUAAACGGUGGGUACUAGGUGUGGGGUCCAUUCCACGGGUUCCGUGCCGUAGCUAACGCUUUAAGUACCCCGCCUGGGGAGUACGGCCGCAAGGCUAAAACUCAAAGGAAUUGACGGGGCCCCGCACAAGCGGCGGAGCAUGCGGAUUAAUUCGAUGCAACGCGUAGAACCUUACCUGGGUUUGACAUGGAUCGGGAGUGCUCAGAGAUGGGUGUGCCUCUUUUGGGGUCUGUUCACAGGUGGUGCAUGGCUGUCGUCAGCUCGUGUCGUGAGAUGUUGGGUUAAGUCCCGCAACGAGCGCAACCCUUGUUCACUGUUGCCAGCACGUUAUGGUGGGGACUCAGUGGAGACCGCCGGGGUCAACUCGGAGGAAGGUGGGGAUGACGUCAAGUCACCAUGCCCCUUAUGUCCAGGGCUUCACGCAUGCUACAAUGGCUGGUACAGAGAGUGGCGAGCCUGUGAGGGUGAGCGAAUCUCGGAAAGCCGGUCUCAGUUCGGAUUGGGGUCUGCAACUCGACCUCAUGAAGUCGGAGUCGCUAGUAAUCGCAGAUCAGCAACGCUGCGGUGAAUACGUUCCCGGG